rnacentral:rRNA from 1 species
AUACGUAGGGGGCAAGCGUUAUCCGGAUUUACUGGGUGUAAAGGGAGCGUAGACGGAAAGCCAAGUCUGAUGUGAAAGGUGGGGGCUCAACCCCCAAACUGCAUUGGAAACUGGCUUGCUAGAGUGUCGGAGAGGGAAGUGGAAUUUCCAGUGUAGCGGUGAAAUGCGUAGAGAUCGGGAGGAACACCAGUGGCGAAGGCGGGUAACUGGACUGCAACUGACGCUGAGGCGCGAAAGUGUGGGGAGCAAACAGGAUUAGAUACCCUGGUAGUCCACACUGUAAACGAUGAAUGCUAGGUGUAAGAGGUAUCGACCCCUUUUGUGCCGGAGUCAACACAAUAAGCAUUCCGCCUGGGGAGUACGGCCGCAAGGUUGAAACUCAAAGGAAUUGACGGGG